rnacentral:tRNA from 1 species
AGAGGCUUAGGAUAGCAUUAGACCGAGGGCCUUCAAAGCCCUGAGCGAGAGUGAAAAUCUCUCAGCCCCUG